AUUUCGCUCAAAAAAAAAAAAGACAAACCUUGAGAACAAACCCUAAAAUAUGCCUUGUUCAUGGGAUAAUGAUGAUACAAAGAAAAGAAAAACUAAAACCCAUUCGCUGGGACAAAGGAUUUAUCCCCUGGUAGGAUAAUAAGAAACUAAAACCUAGAAAAAUAUGUGCAAAAAGUCUCUCUAAUGGCGUUCUCUUAAAACCCAUUCGCUCAAUUUCUGCUCUCACAUCUUCUUCUUUUUCCUCUAUUUGGUAAUCUCACAUAUAUCCAUCAUCAUGAACAAUAUCAACUAAUGUUCCAGCGAACGGGAAUAUCUUUAAUCCCGUUCGAUCAGGGUUUCGUUGUCAUCAUCAUCUCUAUUUUGAUUGAUGUUAUUAGGGUUCACUUUUUUAUUAGGGCUAUACUUGGAUAAAUAGUUUUGUACCACUAAGUUUGCAGGGAGAUUGGAUUAAUCUUCAAGAUCACAGUCACCAGAUUCGGGACAAAACUAAUCUGUUUUAUAUAUUCUACUAGGUUAAGGGUUACUUCCUUUUUGAAUUCUUAGAUAUGGGUACGAUUUUUAUUAAAACGGAUAGUUUUGAUCUAUUCUACUGCUGCCAUUUGUUUGGUUUGUUUGUUUAGGAAGGACAGCAGGAACAAACCAGGUCCAACUGAUGGUAUGGGACAUAGCUGUGUCUCUUAUGGAAAACAUGGGGAUUCGUUCCAGCAACAUUUCAUCUUCAAAUGAAGCUUCUUUUUUCAGUGCAGCUGGAUGGGCACAAUGUCAUGUCUCAGUGAAUGCAGAAGUAUAUGGAUGGAAAGAGCAGGUUACUUGAUAAACAGACUUCCUUGGUGCUAAACAAGGUUAAUCUCGAAUACGUGCUCCUUUAAACACAGUGGUUAUUGUUUUACUUUAUGGGAACGCAUUGUUACACACCUUUUAGAGAUGACAUCAUGGAGUCACCAACCAAGGUUCAGUGCAGCAUACCUUUUAUUUCCUUGGGAGUUGGGAGAGGCGAAGCCAAGCCACACCAAAUCAAAUAUGAUGCAUGAUGGGGACAGGCGAAGCCACAUCACACCAAAUCAAAAUUAUGGUUAAAAGAAAAAGAUGUCGGUACAUAGCACGAAGAGGAGGUUUAUAUUCUACCAUUGUGCUCCGUCUUAGGCUACUAUGGAUUCUUAUAUUGUGAUUUAUGUUCUUAGUUUGGGUUCUUAUAUAUACUUUUGGUCUUUGUCUAAUCUGAAAUCUUUUACUUUAUUUUUCAUUUCUUUUCUGAUGGCUUGAGAAGAUUUCAUUGAAGACCUGUAUAUCUAACGUAUGCUCAAUCUAUUCAAUUAUUUU